rnacentral:lncRNA from 1 species
CCCCUCUUUUCGGCGGGCUUUGGGACCUGGCUCCCUAUCCGGGCUGCCAACUGCGCCGCCCUCCUGUACAUUUGAACUUGGCGCGCGCGCCCAGCCUUCAACCUUCCUCUCGACCGUUUCCUCGCUCCCCGAUGGAGGCGUGGCCAAUCCUGACUCAGGUCCUCCCCCUGGCAGUGCGCCGCCUGAUCCCGAUGCCUGGGACCCCUCCCCCCUCCGGCACGCUGGUGUGGACGCUGGUCCUGAUUUCCAACUGCUGCUCUCUGAGUCCCCUCUGGCCCCUUCUUCCUGGGGUGUCCCCCUCGGCACCCCCCUUGCUCUGACCAAGGGAGCCCCUUUCUGUGAAUCUUCCGAUUCGCUGGAAAGACUCAGAGACCUCGGACCGCUGUCAUCGCUAACAUUUCCUUCGGACUCCUCCCCCUCGCUCUCUAUUUCCUCCCUUUCCUGUGCCUCUGCUCCUGAACCCCUGACAUCAUGUUUUUAAUAUUCUGCUGGGAGCUGCCCAGAGUGGCUUGGGAAACCCAGCCAGAUGAGUGGGGUAUAAAUAAUAAAUCAUUAUUAUUAUUAUUAUUAUUAUUAUUAUUAUUCCAUCCACUGGCGCAAGCUGACCUGCCUUUUUCUUGUCUGCAGCUCCUGUCAAACUGUAGGAAUUCAAGCCAAAAUAAUCCAGUAACUUCCUCAUAUCCUUAUCUCGGAUUGUAACCGUAUUGGAUUUGGAAAUUGUUUCUAUAUAUGAAAUAUAUAAGGGUCUGGAAACCAAGCCUUACGAGGAGCGUUUGAAGGAGCUGGUCAUGUUUAGCCUGCAAAAGAGGAGACUGAGAGCUGAUACGAUAGCCAUCUUCAAAUACCUGAAGGGCUGUCACAUGGAAGAGAGAACAGGCUUGUUUUCUCCUGCUCUGCAGGGUAGGAUUCGAACCAAUGGCUUCAAGUUCCAAGAAAGGAGAUUCCAACUAAACAUGGUCGGACAAACGCCGGCUCCCUCGUCCUGAAAGCGAGAUGAGCGCCACAACCCCAUAGUCGCCUUUGAUUGGACUCAACUGUCCAGGGGUCCUUUACCUUUACCUUUUCCUCUUUUGCCCAACAUAGAAGCCAACUUCUAGGGGCCAUGGGGGCUUUGACUCCCAUAAGAAAAUAUUUGAGAGGGCCAGGCCCCCACAAAGUUGAUGGGCGUUCCCAUUCAAAUGGUGUGCAUGCACUGCGUCAUGUGAUUGAUUAUGUGGGGCAGGGCUUACUUGGGUCCCCACAAUAUUUUAUUCAAGUUGGCACCGCUGUUGCGGCUCAAACCCACAACCCUCAGAUUAAGAGUCUCGUGCUCUACCACCUGAACUGCUCUUUAUCGCUGCUGCAUUUUGAAUCACUUUGAGAUGUUGCAUAGGAAACAAUCCAUUUGUGGAAUUGAAUAAAAAUAAAUAAAAUAGCAAUUCCCAAUAAGCAAUUCAGACCGGAGCAUGAAGGAAUUCCCAACAGUUUAAAGAGCCAGUUUCUGCGUCAAGUGGAGCCCACCAAAUCAGUUACAGACAUUGCCCUGUAUACCAGCCCAGCCCCGUGCUUUGAGAACAAUGCUUUCCUGAAAACAUUUAUAUAUUUGUUCAUCCAUUCAUUUGAUUUAUUGGACAUGUAAGAAGAGGAGGCUUGCAAAAUUCCGAAAGCCUAAAGCAUGACGGAAAACCAGGGGAGAAAAAAAAAUGCAAAUAAAAGCCAUGCAGUAACCUCUAAAACAAAGCCAGUAAAAUAGUGGAAAACUCCAGCAGCAAAAACGUACCAUCGACAAACAGCAAAAUCAUCAUAAUCCAUCUAACGCCUGGGUGAAGAGAUAAGUCUCCACCUGGUGCCAAAAGGAUGUUAAUGAUGGUGCCAGGAGGACAAAAUUAUUAUAACAAUAUCAGGCUGGUGUACUUUGUUCUAAGCGCAUUGUAAGGAUCUGGGAGUAUUUCGACGGAGCUACACUCCUGAGAAAAAAGCAGGGCAUAUUGUGAGAUUUGGCUAGAUGAAGACAUUAUCUCAUGGGGAGAAAAUGGGUGUUCGGAUUAACCUCUCAUGCGUUCAAAAC